ensembl:antisense
GUUGAAGAUGGCCUGAACAUACGUGAGGGACACCUCCAACCCGGAGCUCUGUAUCUAUUGAAUUAUUCAAAUGUAUUCAUUAAAUGGCUAAUACUUUUGCAUUGAAGAAAAACCUCUCCUGACUCUCAUUGAACACGCAGGGAAAUAGUUAAUGACAUCAAAAAAUCCCAACAAUUGGUGACCUCUGACGUGGAGGGGGAGAGAACAUUGAUCUGUCGUGUUGCAUUGACAUCAAGGCAUGCCAAAACAUAAGAUUCACCAAACUGGCAGCUAAGGAGUACAGAUGGCGGCCAUGAGUAAAAUCAAGGCCGAGAGGGGGAGUGCGUAGCAAAGAACAACAUAAACAAAUGAUUGACCCGCUGCCCUCAUGACAAGAGGGGACGUCUGACUAAAUAGGGAGUGCAAGCAUGUAUUGGGGUAGGAGCUAAACACGCAGUAACCUCGAUACAUGGGAGCAACCUGAUAGUAGUGCAGGCCUACGGAUGACAACGAGGAAGUGUGCUAUCACAAAAGAGGGACAAAGAACAGUGUUCUGUUUGAUCACAAAAGAGAAAGUCACUGAUUUACCAACAGAUGACAAUUUGACCAGAACAUUUGAGGUUUUGAUUUUCAUUUUAAUCAAUGUCUUGAUUCUACCCAUAAUGCUACAACUUUUAAUUUCAUUGUAAAAAGUUUGGACCUUAGCUCUCAAUGAUAUUAUGGUACUUUUGAAUUUUUCAUUGGAGCAUAUUUUUUUACGGGUUUGGAUUCCCUUUUUGAUUGUAAUCAAAUUUUUAAAGCUUGAAAAUUUUAAUUUGAAUUAUAUUGAUAACUAAAAAUAACUGAAUAAAAUAAAUAAUCAUACCUCUUAUGAUAAAGUGCAUAAGGUAGGAAAAUGAAAUUGUGAAAUAAUUGGAAGUUAAUGGGAGUGUUUGGCAAAACAACCCUGAAUAUAGUGGGCAUAAUUUUUAGGAUAAGAAAUGAUUAGAAUGAAGCCAUGGAGUAGAGAGACUCCACCACUCAAUAAGAGAACUAGGGGUGAACAGAUUGUUGAGUGAAUCCAACAGAUAGGGAAUUGAGUUAAAAGGGUUUAUGGGCAUUUUCUAAUAUAAUGAAAGAGCACUAUGUAAACAACAAGGUGUAAGCAACCAUUUUGGAAAAAUGGGUAAAGGAUUGUAUUUGGCAAAUAUUUGUAAUAAUGUUAAUUGAUUUUUAUUUUUUAUUUUUCUUUACGUUUAGAUUUUGGUUAUCUGUGGUUGUGAGCUCCUUUAGAGGAGCUCAAAAGAGGGAUUUUGUUAGAAAUUUAUUACUUAUUAAUUGUAGCUCUUUCAUUUCUUUCUAUGAAUGUAGCUGUGUUAUGCCAAUGUAUGUUAUAUAGUUGUGUCAUGUUUAUGCAUGUAAUUUAGCUGUGUCAUGUUCAUGUAUGUACGUCAAGAGGGGCCAGGGUCUGUGGUGCCAAGGCCAGAUAAUACAGAACGUAAAGGACCACACCCGGCCAAUUCCUAGAACACCAGUUGUUUACACAUGUGUAUAAAAGUGGUUGGAAGGAAAGAGUUGUUGUUGAAGAUGGCCUGAACAUACGUGAGGGACACCUCCAACCCGGAGCUCUGUAUCUAUUGAAUUAUUCAAAUGUAUUCAUUAAAUGGCUAAUACUUUUGCAUUGAAG